AUAACCCUCGCAUGAAAAAAAAAGGACGACGACAAAGGCCCCUCGCACCAAAAAAAAACGGACGAAGCGAAGGAGCGACGACCCCUCGAUCUAUUCGCGACGCGAACGACGCAACCGCCGCCAUCGCAGAUCCCAGGCGCUAGCCGCGGAUCCCUUUGCCGGCGCUGAGGGGUCGUGGAGGCGCCGCCGCCGAGGUCCUAAAGGAGGCGCCGCCGCCAUCGUUGUGGACCUUCGGGUCGCCAUCGAGACACCUCUGUUGAGUAUUCCUUCGCCUUCACACGGUGAUGGGCAUGGUGGCGGAAGAAGGUCGUCUUCUCAGAGCACCGCACGCUGGCCGCCGUCUUCAUCCGCGGCCGCACCAACAAGACAGACUGUAUAAUUCGGAUGGGUCUUCUUCUACAUGGUGACUAUUGACGCAAAGAAGGAUUGCACUUCGUCCCCAUCUUCUACAUAGCCUAUACCAAGAAUCAUACCCCACCCACACGGUGGCACGACGCAGAAGGGCUACAUGGGUCUAUAGCGGCGCGUGCAAUGGAAGGACACCUAUGGGAACAAGCUCACCGAGGUCUUGGAAUUCCAACCUAGAUAAACAAGUGAACUCAUUUUAACAGUUUUCCUUUUUUUGUGAUGCAGGCUAGCUCAUUCAUUAAGGGCUACUCAGCUCUGCUUUUGCCCUCCCUUUGGAGAUUGGAUUAUAUGGUACUCUGUGUUGAAGGCUCUUCAUACUAAAUUUAAUAAAUCUUGUCAUGUUUUCAUAGGUUGCCUAUUUUCUCACCCUGCAUGGAAUGGUGAAUGUUUGUAGCAUGGUCACUUGGUCAGGUUUUGAUUACUUUUAUCACUGCACAUACCUUCAGAAAAUAACCCAAUGAGGCUAGCUCGUUCUUUCUACUUAUACACCUACACAUGGGAUGCUCUGUUAAUUUUGUUGUGCAAAUAAUCAUUAUUCCUGUUGAUGAACAAUGAUAAUGGCUCCCAAAACUACAACACUUGCUGCUUCAGUGUAUGUCUACUGUAUCGUAAAAGAAUAUGAUUAUAUCUUUUGCUUUGUAGUGCCCUGUUCACGAGAAUGAUGCUGAGAAGGCAAUAGGUCAUGCAUGCUAGCUUUGGCAUGGACACGCUUCAAAACUGUCUCUGUCCAUAGGGUUACUGAUUACUGCUUGUGAUGUUUAAGAGUGAUGCACAGGAACAGGAUUAUUUUUAUGUGAAGGUGGAUAGAAAUAACUUUACUUGAGAAGGAGCUUUUCAUUGCAUCUGAUUUGUACUAUCAGUAUCAGACUUCAUUCCUGUGAAGUAACAUUUGGGCAAAAUGGGC
rnacentral:rRNA from 1 species